UUUUGCCAUGCUCCUGAUGCUACUGUCUAGAGCGCAGGUUGCUGCCGCUGCUAUUACACAACACUGAGCUCAGUAAGAAAGUAAGAAGAUACUAUGAAUUUGGAAAUUUUCUGCAAUUGAAAGACGGCUGCUGACUUGACCCGGGGAAUGGUCAUCAAACUUAGCAUUUUUUGCGUUGAAAAAGACCCAGAAUGUGACAGACCUGGACUCUGCCACAAGCUGACUUACAAGAAAAGUCAGUCUGAAGACAAGUCCAGUACUCCUGUGAUCAUAUGUAGAAAUCAAGAAGGCCUAUUGUAAAAUAAUAAUAAUAAACAUUCCCAUCAUCUGUA